AACGAACGCUGGCGGCAGGCCUAACACAUGCAAGUCGAGCGCCCCGCAAGGGGAGCGGCGGACGGGUGAGUAACGCGUGGGAACGUACCCUUUGCUACGGAAUAGCCUCGGGAAACUGGGAGUAAUACCGUAUGUGCCCUUCGGGGGAAAGAUUUAUCGGCAAAGGAUCGGCCCGCGUUGGAUUAGGUAGUUGGUGGGGUAAUGGCCUACCAAGCCGACGAUCCAUAGCUGGUUUGAGAGGAUGAUCAGCCACACUGGGACUGAGACACGGCCCAGACUCCUACGGGAGGCAGCAGUGGGGAAUCUUAGACAAUGGGCGCAAGCCUGAUCUAGCCAUGCCGCGUGAGCGAUGAAGGCCUUAGGGUUGUAAAGCUCUUUCAGUGGGAAGAUAAUGACUGUACCCACAGAAGAAGCCCCGGCUAACUCCGUG
rnacentral:rRNA from 1 species